UUGAAAUAAUAUAUUAUCGUCAAAUCUUCCGAAAAUUGAAACUUAGAGAAGUGCUUUACACGCAUAUUUAUAUAAAUGGGAUGAUAUCUGUCAUAAUUUUCUUCACUAUCUUGUUAAGAAGAAAAGGCAUUACAAAUGGGCAAGAUUCUUGCAUACCUCAUGGUAGAACUCUUCAGCGUAUAACAGAGCAGCAAAGUAAUCCUUAUAUGUCGUGGAAGACAGAGGCUGUUUAAGAACUUUAGGCACAAUGUCAUUCUUGAUCAAAUCUUUGAAAUCCUCAGGAAUCGUGAAUAUAGGUAAUGAACCCUUUUCAACCACCGAUACAUAAUUUUUCUUCCCCUUUUCAGUUAUUACAUCUGAGGAGGCUGGGGAUAGAACUUGCUUAAAGAUUGGAGGGAGCGUAGUGGAAGACGCUGGCCGUCCCGAGGGUGGAGAUGGUUUUGAAGAUGUUGGAGGAUUUGGUGAUGAUGAAUGUGAUUUUGAUGAAGCCUGAGGUGGUUUAGAGGAGGAUGUAGACAGUUUCGGAGGAUGUGGUCUAGAUGAAGGUGUUUGGAGUUGAAGGGAUGGUGAAGAUGGACUAAUAAGAGUGGAUUGGGGCAGCUUAGAUGAAGAUGUUGGGGGUUUAGGCAAUGCUGAACGCUGAUCAACAGAAGAAGAUUGUUGUAAUUUAGAUACAGAUGUUGGGAAUUCAAGAACAAAUGGAGAUGCAUUGGAAGAAGAUGGAUUAACAAAAGUUGAUUGAGGCAGUUUAGAUGAAGAUGUUGGGGGCUUAGGGAAUGUUGAAGAAGAAGAUGUUGGGAAUUCAGGAGAUGGAGAAGAUGUACUGAUAUAAGAAGAUUGCAGCGGUUUCAAUGAAGAUGUCGGAGGCUUAGGGGAUGAUGAAGAUGAACUAAAGGGAGAUUUGACUGGUUGAGAUGGAGGUGAUGGGGCUUUAUAGUUAUAGAAGGCUGGAGAUUGAUUAGUAGAAGUCAAGGGUGGCGAGCGGUUUCUAUCGGAAAAGUUUGUCUGGGAAUUUGAUUAUAAUCAUAAUUCUCACGCUCAUCUUCAAUACAAAAGAGGCAUUUCAAAACUUCAAGAAAAAUUGACAUGGUGUCCCUCUUUCUGUGAUCAAAACACACAAGUCAAGCAACCAGUUGAGAUACCAAAGACAAAGAUCAUCUGAGUUACAAUGUUACAUACAAAUGAAUUGAAAAGUGGAAGCUGAAGCUGAAGAAAUAAAAAGCCAACAUGAAAAAGG
rnacentral:lncRNA from 1 species